GAAUUUGAACUUGGCCUCCUCAACGGGGUCUUGAAGAACGUGAUCCGCGGUGUCCAGGAAGUGGCCGAUGCUCUCGCUCUCCGUUAGCCAACCGACCGGUACGAUUGGAACGGCCAUGGCCAUCGCGCAUAGGAAUUUGAGUUUCUGGAACAACAAAAUUGUCACAGACCGAAGAGCAUUCGAGUUCGUUGGUGUUUUCUUCUUUUUUUUCCUCCGAUUUGAAAACCGCAUGGACGGAACCAAACCUGAGUGCAUCUCCAUCUUGCAGUUGAUACAAUCUACGUGGGCGCAAAACUGCCUAUUGGAGUCAGGUGUUUGAAAAUGAAAGGUUAUCAAAUUAGAACGUAACUCCAUUAUCAAUCAUUAUGAACAAACUGCUUACGUCGUUGAGUCUGGUUUUGUUCAGUGAUCCCAGGUCACAGAUGAAAAUCGAUUUCAACCCUGUACCUGCCUCAAUUUCCGCAUGCUCCUUUGAUAUAGUCUGACAAAAGAGAACAAAUAUUUAAAAUAAAAGUAAGUGAGAUAU